CCUUUUCCUUUCUUUCUUUCUUUUUUUAAGUUUUUUCUCUCUCAUUUCGAGAGGUAAGCAAGCGACAAACGUGUACAACAUCAGAACACUGAAAUACUUUCCACAAACACGACAACAAAAUACAAGAAAGUCAUUUUCCAAUCUUUAUUAACACAUCCACACAAAGGGACUAUCAACACAAUGUAUAAACCUUUAGUUGUACCGUCUGCAUAGAGGGUCGUUUUCUUAUAUCCUUUUGUUUUUUAUUUAUUCCCUUUCUUAUAUUUAGGUAAUACACUCAAAACACACUGUAGAAAUACUUUCCACCAACAUACUAAGAAAAAAAUCCUGUUCUCUCUUUAUAAUUGACUGAUCCUAAUCAAAGGACUAUCAACACAGUGAUUAAAUCUCUCCCUCCUCAUGUCCCCGUCCAGACUUCCAUAUGGAGGGGGAACACGACCUAAUUUUUAAAUCUGAUCCUCUUUAUGUCCUCGUGCAGACUUCCAUAUCGAGACGAAACACUACCUAAUAACUUCACACUUGGGACGUGGGACGUGACACCAUAUCACCCCAAUUAUGUCCAUACACGUCAAUGUUAAAAGUUUCGAGGUCAUUCUACGUACUUACUUUUUAUAUACUUUAUUAACUUUGAUGGAAUAAAACAUCUAGUAAGAGGAUCCUUCUCUUCACAACCGGGUUCGAAACAAACCAAGUUCGUCUGAAAACGGUGACGUUGUCGGUGUGCUUUUACAUGAUGCACCUACGUCCCAGUAACAAGGUUCGUGAAGACAAGACUACGGUCUUAAUAAGAACUAGAGACGUCACUUGGUUUGAGAAGAAGUGGCAUCUCAUCAACUGAGUAGUUACUCCUUGACAACGCUACUUAUAGGUUAAUCCGGUUAGGGUAAGUGAAAGUGUGCCAUACAACACACAACAUCAGACCAUUAUAAAACAAGUGAAGUUAUAGUCCGACGUUACAUAGAUGGAUCGGUUUACCACACCUUAUGAAUUUAAAAUGAACCAUAUAAACAGUCGUCUACAUUGUACCUUCCAUGACCGUUUCACCGUUAUACUAACCACAAAAGAAGUGUUUCCUUUUACUACAGGUAGACCGAAGUUACAGUGUCAAUGAGACCUUCAGAUUAAGAAGACACAAGAACGUCGUGUGUGUUUUUCCUUUUUUCUUUUUCUUUUUCCUUUUUUAUUUUUUCCUUCUUUUCCUUUUUCUUUUUCUUUUUCCUUCAUUCCUUCUUUUAAUAUCUUCUUUUGAGAGGUAGCUGGGUGUCAAACGUGUGACCCGUCUCUUUACGUCUUCAACUUCGCCUAACCGUUGACGGGGGAGGGAUGAGGUGGCUGGGGUCUACCUUAGUGGUACGGUACCACCUCACUCCAGCCCUCCGCUAUCACUACUCGUUACACUGCUGCCUCCCGUACACUGUUUAUCGCUACUACGACCGAUGAAGAGUACCUCCUGUGUGUCCCCGAAACCUCCUCGUAUUACCGUCGGGAUCAAACUAACCCCGUAUAAGAGAGAAAAACCUAUACGGUACGAACUUCUUCAACGACGGUAGCGUUGAACAUAGAGGAUAGGAAAUGAUCUGACCGGAGAGGGUUGAACAUUUGAGAAGUUAUGAACUUCUUGAGAGUCGUAAGUGGGUGACGCGCCCGCGGUACCGGAACCACCAUAGAGGAGGAACAUGUAUUUAUGUCAUACAUAUACCUAGACCUCAACAUGUGAUAGUAUCGGACCCUCUUGAGAGAGGUAAGAAGAGUGUCUUUUUUCCUUUUUUACACUUUUCUUCCUUUCUUUCUUUUUCCCUUUUUUCUUGUUUUUUACACCCCUUUUUCUUUCUUUCUCUUUCCCUUUUACACUUUUUUUCUUUCUUUCUUUUCUUUUUUUUACACUUUUUUCUUGUUUUCUACACUCUUUUUUUCUUUCUUUUCCCUCCCUUACACUUCAUUUUUUCUUCUCCUUUUGGAAGUAAGUAAGUGGUAAGCUUGUACACCACAUAGUUUCCACCAACACGUCAACAAAAUCCAAUAAAGUCUUUUUUCAUCUUUAUAAUUAUCGCAUCCUAACAAGAGGGUCAUCCACACUAUGUUUAAACCUUUAGUUCUACCGUGAUCAUCGAGGGUAGUUUUAUUUCCUCCGUUUUUCUUUUUUACUAAUUCCUUUUUAGAAGCAGGUAAUACACCCAAAACACACCAUAGAUAUGUUUUCCACCAACGUAUUAAAAACAUACAAGAAAGUUCUUUUAGAUCUCUCAUAACUACUUGAUCCUAACCAACGUACUCUAUCAGCACAGUGUUUAAAUCUGUCCCUCCCUUAUGUCCUCGUUCAGAGUUCCAGAUCGAGGGUAAACACAACCUAGUCACUUCACACGCGAAACGCCGUACAAUUUAACCUCAACCUCAAUUCUUUCUAGUUAGAGGAACCUAACAGACCACCUACCUCAAAGUAAAUAAGAUCCUAAUGAGAACUUGACGUUCACUCGUUUUGGAUAUAAGUCGAAUCUGAUCAAUUCAGUAACUGGUCCUUAACGACGCUACUUAUACGUUAGUCCGGUUAGGGAAAGUGUGAGUAUACUACAUUGUACCUUCCAUGUCCUUUACCACCCGUAAAAGAAACGUUUUCCUUUUACGACGAGUAGACCAAACGGACUGCAGAAGUCACAAGCGUCAAUGAGGCCUUUAGGAUAAUACGCCGUGAGAGCGUCGUCUGUAUUUCUGCCCCUGUUUUUUUCUAUUUUCCUUUGUUUUUCCUUGUUUUCAAUAUAAACUUUAUGAGAAGUAGACCAGUGUAAAUAAAUUCACCCUCCUCACGCCCUGCUUCUCCUAUCAGUGACAGGAGGGAGGUGGUUUAGGGGUUCUCCAAGUAGUACAGUAUCGCCGUAUAACCCUCCAGCCCUCCACCGUCACCACACGCUAUACCCACCGCCGCUUCACGUACCCUCCCCAUCGCUGCUACGACCGGCGAGACCACCUCCUGACCUGUCCCCACCAUCACUUUCUCGUAUUACUGUAGGGCUAUCCUAGUUUCAGGAUAACAUAAGUGACACACUAGAGAGUAGGAAAACUUCUUGGACGUAGGUCACUGUACCCGAAAGUCUAUGGGAAGGAGCUCGGUGACGACCUAGUUUACCCGAAACCAGUCAAGUAGGCCCACCACCGUUAAGCACUACGAAAACCAAGAGUUUACCUACCACCACAAUGCGGACGUUCGAAGAACACCAAAGUUCAACUUGGACCGGUGGUUCGGGAGGGUUGGGAAGUAUUUGAGGUCCACGAGUCGAGCGUCAAAGAUCUAAAAAAAAAAUCUGAACAAAGCAACGUGUCACCUCUACUCGAUGCGUCUGCUCGACACUUUCGCGACUAACGAAUACCAGUCCACGAUAUAUACGAAAGAAAGGAAAGUUCUACAUGAGUUGUACUAACAUUGAACUAACUACUACUACUUAUUAUUUCAUUCGUAGGAGAGUUUUCUUACUUUUGGGCCAACCGUGACCAUUGAGAAGUUCGUGAACGAGUUUCAGACAAAAACAGUGACCAAAUACAACUGUCAAAGAAGUGACUUCAACACUUUAGCUAGCGAGAGAAAAAGAAUUUUUUUU
rnacentral:rRNA from 1 species